rnacentral:rRNA from 1 species
GAUUAACGUUGGCGGCGUGCAUAACACAUGCAAGUUGAGCGUCGGCCGUUAGUUUACUAAGGUCUAGCAGCGGACGGCUGAGUAAUGAACAGAACGUACCUCGAAGUGGGCAUAGCCUCUCGAAAGAGAGGGUAAUACCGCAUGUGGUGGAAACACCAAAGCAGCAAUGCGCUUUGAGAGCGGCCUGUUUCCUAUCAGGUUGUUGGUGA